GGAUGUGAGGGCGAUCUGGCUGCGACAUCUCUCACCCCAUUGAUCGCCAGGGUUGAUUCGGCUGAUCUGGCUGGCUAGGCGGGUGUCCCCUUCCUCCCUCAACGAUCCAUGUGCAUCCCUCCCGAAGCUGCGCGCUUGGUCGAAGAGGACGACCACCCCCGAUAGUGGAGGAACGUUCCUCGGUCAAGGGUAUACGAGUAGCUGAGCUCCCCUGCUCGAACCUCCAAACAAGCUCUCAAGGAAAACAGAACGGAAACAAAUAAAUACGCUAAUGCUGAACCUUCAAC
rnacentral:snRNA from 1 species